rnacentral:tRNA from 1 species
GCCUAGUUAGCUUAGUUGGUAGUGCGUCUGCAUUGUAAGCGCUAGGCCGCGGGUUCGAUUCUCGCCCGGGGCG